rnacentral:rRNA from 1 species
GGGAUUGCCUCAGUAACGGCGAGUGAAGCGGCAACAGCUCAAAUUUGAAAUCUGGCCCCGUCGGGGUCCGAGUUGUAAUUUGUAGAGAGUGCUUCGGGCGAGGCCUCGGUCUAAGUCCAUUGGAACAUGGUGUCAUAGAGGGUGAGAAUCCCGUAUGCGACCGUGGCUCGAACCCAUGUGAAGCCUCUUCGACGAGUCGAGUUGUUUGGGAAUGCAGCUCAAAAUGGGUGGUAAAUUUCAUCUAAAGCUAAAUACUGGCUGGAGACCGAUAGCGCACAAGUAGAGUGAUCGAAAGAUGAAAAGCACUUUGGAAAGAGAGUCAAACAGUACGUGAAAUUGUUGAAAGGGAAGCGCUUGCAACCAGACCUGCCCGUAGGCGAUCAGCCGCUGUUCUCAGCGGUGCACUCGUUCUGCGAUCAGGCCAGCAUCGGUUUCGGCGGUCGGAUAAAGGCCUUGGGAAUGUAGCUUCCCCUCGGGGGAGUCUUAUAGCCCUCGGUGCAAUGCGGCCAGCCGGGACCGAGGACCGCGCUUCGGCUAGGAUGCUGGCGUAAUGGUUGUAAGCGACCCGUCUUGAAACACGGACCAAGGAGUCUAACAUCUAUGCGAGUGUUUGGGUGUCAAACCCAUGCGCGGAAUGAAAGUGAACGGAGGUGAGAACCCUCAAGGGCGCAUCAUCGACCGAUCCAGAUGUCUUCGGAUGGAUUUGAGUAUGAGCAUAGCUGUUGGGACCCGAAAGAUGAUGAACUAUACCUGAAUAGGGUGAAGCCAGAGGAAACUCUGGUGGAGGCUCGCAGCGGUUCUGACGUGCAAAUCGAUCGUCAAAUUUGGGUAUAGGGGCGAAAGACUAAUCGAAUCA